rnacentral:snoRNA from 1 species
GCCAGCAGGCUACCGUGGGUGAGGCGGUUGGGCUAUACCUUGCUGCCGAUACGUCUCAAUCGGGCCUCGCGAGAUUG